rnacentral:rRNA from 1 species
GUAGGUGGCAAGCGUUGUCCGGAAUUAUUGGGCGUAAAGCGCGCGCAGGCGGUUCUUUAAGUCUGAUGUGAAAGCCCACGGGCUCAACCGUGGAGGGUCAUUGGAAACUGGAGAACUUGAGUACAGAAGAGGAAAGCGGAAUUCCACGUGUAGUGGUGAAAUGCGUAGAGAUGUGGAGGAACACCAGUGGCGAAGGCGGCUUUCUGGUCUGUAACUGACGCUGAGGCGCGAAAGCGUGGGGAGCAAACAGGAUUAGAUACCCUGGUAGUCCACGCCGUAAACGAUGAGUGCUAAGUGUUAGGGGGUUUCCGCCCCUUAGUGCUGCAGCUAACGCAUUAAGCACUCCGCCUGGGGAGUACGGCCGCAAGGCUG